UCCUGCUCGGGUCCUAAAGUCCUACUCUGU
rnacentral:piRNA from 1 species